rnacentral:rRNA from 1 species
GACGAACGCUGGCGGCGUGCUUAACACAUGCAAGUCGAACGGAAAGGCCCCUUUGGGGGUACUCGAGUGGCGAACGGGUGAGUAACACGUGAGUAACCUGCCCUUGACUUCGGGAUAACUUCAGGAAACUGGGGCUAAUACCGGAUAGGAAUCCUUGCUGCAUGGUGGGGGUUGGAAAGCUUCGGCGGUUUUGGAUGGACUCGCGGCUUAUCAGCUUGUUGGUGGGGUAGUGGCUUACCAAGGCUUUGACGGGUAGCCGGCCUGAGAGGGCGACCGGCCACAUUGGGACUGAGAUACGGCCCAGACUCCUACGGGAGGCAGCGGUGGGGAAGAUUGCACAAUGGGCGGAAGCCUGAUGCAGCAACGCCGCGUGCGGGAUGACGGCCUUCGGGUUGUAAACCGCUUUCAGCAGGGGCGAAGCUUGUGGUGACGGUACCUGCAGAAGAAGCACCGGCUAACUACGUG